CCCUUAGAUGUCCUGGGCCGCACGCGUGCUACACUGAUGCAUACAGCGAGUACUUUCCAGCUCCGCGAGGCAGCUGGUAAUCAGCAAUAUGCAUCGUGCUGGGGAUAGAUCUUUGGAAUUAUAGAUCUUGAACGAGGAAUUCCUAGUAAGCGCAAGUCAUUAGCUUGCGCUGAUUAAGUCCCUGCCCUUUGUACACACCGCCCGUCGCUCCUACCGAUUUCGAGUGAUUCGGUGAACCUUUUGGACAGCGUCUGUCCUCGUGUCAGAUGCCGAAAGUCAAGUAAACCAUAUCACUUAGAGGAAGGAGAAGUCGUAACA
rnacentral:rRNA from 1 species